UCUUCCAUUUUUCCCUCUCGCUUUCCCCUCUUUCUCCAUUCCAUCUCUGCUUCUUUGUUUGAAUCUCAAAUCUCAUCAGUUGUUUAUCACUCAAAAGUGUGUGCUCUUCGUGUUGGUAAAUGUUUUCCGAAAUCUUUUUGUAAUUAGUGCACUUUCUUUAGUUGAAAUCUGCAUUUAUACUUUUGGAUUGUUUCUGAUUGGAUUUUCUACAUGUAUAUCAAUACUUUUUCUGAUUUACUCAGGCAUGUGUAGCUUUAGACACCCAGGUGCAAGAUUCUGAUAAGUACUGCAAAUUUUGUCUCAAUAUCCCUUUUAUAAAUCUAUUUUUUUUGUGUGCUGUUAAAAUCUAUAUUGAUUAGAUGUCUCUCUUUUUUCACUUCUAACAAAGUGCACAAAGAUGUAUUCUACCGCUGGAGCAGCUAACUCAAUUUAAGUGAGGCACCUAAGGUAUUUGAUAAUGAGCUUGAAGCAACUUAAUUUUUUAGUUGCUUUUUUUUCACAGAUUAUCUACAACAUACUCCUCUGUUAGUGAACAAUCCAAAAGCUACAUCACUUAUUUCUACAUGGUUGUUGUUUAUAUUCGUUUUCAAGAAAUACAUUUGAAACAUUUAUCAUUUGUUUGCAUCUAUUUCAAUUGCAGAUUGCUACUGUUAGUGUAACUUAGUGUUUUCAAGAAAAUUUAGAUAUACUGUAUAGGUUAAACCAAAUUGGAAAUAUUACUUUAACAAAAGCAAGAACUAUAGGAAUAAGAAUGUCGACGAACAAUGACAUCGCAUUGCAUAGACUUCAAAAGACUAAGGAUAUUGACUCGCUAAUAGAAAUAUGUGAUGUAGUGAUAUGCACAAAUGUUUCCCAAGAGAAAACAAUUCUUGACAGAUGCUCUACAACUUGAAGUUGAUUAUUUCACUUUGCCGAAUUUGAUUUUAUUAGUUUAAUUAAUUGAGUUGAAAUUGAGAGGCUCCUAUUUUUUUAUUUUUAUUUUUUGUUAGUUUAGUUGAUUGAUGAGUGCAGGUAGGGUGGGGUUUUUGGCUUACAUAUCAUAUCAUAUCAUUGUGUAGCAUUUGGUUUCAGUGCUGGUGAGGAACUCACAAGAAUGUGAGAUUUAUGCUUAUGUGAGCUCAUCAGACUUAGCUAUGAAGAUUGAAGCUUAAAGGAUCGUCGUCCUUUAGAUUUCCAGUUUCUUUUUCUGAAGAAUUCCACAGCCAACUCCCCAAGGAGCUCAAGGGGAACCCUGCUAUUAUCAUUACUGGUCAACUGUUUUGAAUCUUCUGAUUAAGAGAUCAAGUGGGAGAAAUCUGAAUUCUGUGAGUUCAAUUUCAAUGUUGAUGUAUGUUCUAAAGGUAAUCUUGGUGAAGCUAGAGGAGGAAGCAUUCUCAGGGACUGGAAAAAAGAAUUGGUAGUAGCAUUUUCUGAGUGUUAUGGGAUUUUCUCUAACAAUGUUUUGAGAAGGAUUUUCUCUAACAAUGUUACAGACUAAAGUCAUAUUAUUAGGCUUAUGCUGUGAAUUCAAAAUCACUAUAGCUAUGUUAACAUAGAAACUUAUAUGGCAACAGAAGAGUAUUAUCCAUUAUAUUAGAAGCCUGAUGACUCAAUGGUAAUUUGUUAGAGGCCACUGUUUUAGGAGGCUAAUAUGGUAGCAAAUAAGCUGGCUAACUUGGGUGUUCAUAACAAGUCGAAAACUUUUUUCUAAUGGAACAGUAUCUUGCCUAAAGGUACUAGAAUUACAUUGAAAAAUGAUAUAUUGGACAUACCAUUUUUUAGAACUUGACCCAACAAAAAAUCUGUAGCUUGGAUAAUGGUUAAAAUAUUGAUGUUGUGAACAUAUUUUUGAGAGUUCUAUACUUAUGUUGUAAAGGAGGAGUAGAUUCUUCUAAUUAUCAGUGUUGCUUCUAGAUGGUACUCUCUCCUCAAUUUUUGACUGCAUAUUCUAGAUUCAAGAUAACUUUACCACAUUCCAUUUUUAGUGCUCUGACUUGAGAAACUCAAUUUGGGUCAAUAUGUCUUGAAUUUUGAACUAGUCCAAGUUCUGUAUGGACUUAAUCCCAUAAAAUUUUGCAUGUCUACAUUUCUUUUAUCUCGUCUGUAUGACAAGUAUAAAAAUCAAGAUGAACUACAUGCUUUAGGAUUGAAAUUGCCAUGCCUUCUUUUCUGCACCCCUACCUCCCCCCUCCCCCCACACAAACUCCUUCUCGGAUAACUUUUUUUGACUUUUUAUUUUUUAUUUAUGUCCAUGGAAAUUGUUGAAUCU